GGUUUGUGUGGUAAGCACCUUUACUGCUGAGUCAUUUUGCUGGCCCUGCAUACCCACUUUAUAUAACUACAUAGCCAGUGCUGUGUAAAAAUUUCUCACUGAACAACGAAUCUUGAGUGGAAAAGUCUAAGAAGCUGCUGUAGGGAACAGAUGUCCUGGGGAUCUCCCUAGGAACCAACGAGGACUGCUGUGCAGUACCUGGGUUCCUGUAGACAGGUUUCUUUCCAGAAGGAAGUAGCUGGGUGCCUUCCUGGGCGCUUGCAGGCAACCUCAGUCUCUGCUGACCCUGGGCUAAGGACAAGGCCAUGAAAACUCUGUAUCCAUCAAACAGCAGGGCACCAUUCCUUCCUCCCAAUGCCUUAGUUACCUUUGCUCUGGUCCAGCUCCUGAAAAUCCAACCCCCCUCACAUAAGUGGAGAUGGGUAUCUAAUACAGCCCUGCGCCACACAAAGAAGGAUGGGACAGUGGCAGAUCUCACAGGGUACAGUGGUCAUCCCAGAAGAUUAUAAGGAAGCUCCUGCCAGCUAGCGAUGUGUAAUGUGCAACACACAGAAACGUAAGGCAUAUCGUGCUGCUGGUGCCACGGUCACAAAGGCAUAGGGUAUGACAUGGGAUAGUGACGGCAAAGGACGAGAUGCUCUCGGUGACUUAUGUACCGUGUUCUGUACGGUGGGUUUGGGGGCACACUUACCUUCCAUACAGAGGGGGUCUUGGCCUCACACACCUGGUGCAUCAGGAAGCCUUGAUGAGGGAGUGACUUCAGCUUUCUGUAAGUGAUGAGCUUGUCUAACGGGGCCAUUCUUUUCUAGAACGAUCUCCUAUCAUGAGGUACUGCAUGAGUGUGGUCUGCUGUAUGUGUACAGGGGGCUUUGUUUCCUCAGUCAUCUGCCAACAGACACUGUCCUGUGUCCACUUGGGGAUUUUGUGAGUAGCACCGCUGUGACCAUGAGCACCCUUCUUUCCAGGCAGCUCGGUUGAGACACAGCACGUAUGUCAGAAAACGCACCCACUUAAAUGCUCAAGUCAAUGCUGUUAUUACAGCCAGAGCUGUGCAGCUGCCUCCACCAUCUAAUUUUAGAGCAUCUCUUCUCCUCUCCCACCUCAGAGGGAGUGAGUGACAGCCCGAGGCAGCCACCCAUCUAUUUCCUGUCUCUAGAGGUUUGCCAAUUCUAGGCAUUUCACAUAAACACAAUUAUAUAUCAUGUCUAUGCUCUUUCAUAGCUGUCGCUUUUUUUUGAUACAGGGUCUCAUGUAGCCUGAGUUGGCAUUAAGUUUGCUGUGCAGCUCAGAAUGACCUUGAACCUCUAGUCCUCCUGCCUCUAUUUCCUGAGGGUGACAACUACAGAUUUGGAUCACAACAUCAUUUUAUGCAAUGCUGGGUAUCAAACCCCGGGCUUCAAUACAUGCUAAGAAAGCAUUUUACCAAUCAAGUCACUUAUCCAGCCCUCACUGUCUUCAUUUAGCACCAUAUUUGAAGGCUGAUACAUUGCUACUUGUUUAUGCCACAGUCAACUGGCUCAAAGUGGGGGCAAGGAUUUUCCCAGGUUCUCAGCAAACUCUGGCGGGCCAGAGUGCUGUUUGUGGUUCAUGUGGUUGCAUUCUUCAAAAAACACUCAUUAAGAGUCUUCCACACACUAGCCACUUAACCAGUACUGCCUAAGUGAUGAGACGCACGGGGUGUGAUGACAUGCACUUGCAAUCCCAGCACUCAGGAGGUAGACAGGAGGGUCAGCUCAGCAACACAGGAAAUUUGAGGCCAACCUUGGAUCCAUGAGACCCUGUACAAGGCCGAAGAGCUGGCCAGUGGCCGGACUGAGAUUCGAUCCCAGGCAGUCUGGCUAUGGAGGCAGAGCUGCACAGAGAAACGUUUUCUCUGAGAGUGAGUUGCUGGCCAGUGUGGACAGUGUACCCUUCUUAGUCUUUGCUUUGCUUGAGCAAACCUGGCUCUCACUUCUGUCUUCCCUGCAGGUCCUCGAUUCACUUGCCCAACCCUGAGUAAGUGUAGCAGAGGAGACGCUGCUUCAUUAUACCAGCUUCCCCAGGCAGACCCCAUGGACAUUUGCCUCUGCCUGUCUGGUGACCCGAGAAUAGACUCCACUCACUUCUGCGGGCCUUUCUGUUGCCUGUCAAAGAAAACACUACUGCAUUUUAAAGCCACUGCAGUCUUCCUAUUGUCCCCCACCUCCUAUUGUGGCUUUAUUGAGUUAUAAUUGGCAAAUAAAAACUAGGUAUGUUGAAGAGA